UGAGUAACACGUGGGCAAUCUGCCCUGCACUCUGGGACAAGCCCUGGAAACGGGGUCUAAUACCGGAUAUGACCACCGGCCGCAUGGUCUGGUGGUGGAAAGCUCCGGCGGUGCAGGAUGAGCCCGCGGCCUAUCAGCUUGUUGGUGGGGUGAUGGCCUACCAAGGCGACGACGGGUAGCCGGCCUGAGAGGGCGACCGGCCACACUGGGACUGAGACACGGCCCAGACUCCUACGGGAGGCAGCAGUGGGGAAUAUUGCACAAUGGGCGCAAGCCUGAUGCAGCGACGCCGCGUGAGGGAUGACGGCCUUCGGGUUGUAAACCUCUUUCAGCAGGGAAGAAGCGCGAGUGACGGUACCUGCAGAAGAAGCACCGGCUAACUACGUGCCAGCAGCCGCGGUAAUACGUAGGGUGCGAGCGUUGUCCGGAAUUAUUGGGCGUAAAGAGCUCGUAGGCGGCCUGUCGCGUCGGAUGUGAAAGCCCGGGGCUUAACCCCGGGUCUGCAUUCGAUACGGGCAGGCUAGAGUUCGGCAGGGGAGAUUGGAAUUCCUGGUGUAGCGGUGAAAUGCGCAGAUAUCAGGAGGAACACCGGUGGCGAAGGCGGAUCUCUGGGCCGAUACUGACGCUGAGGAGCGAAAGCGUGGGGAGCGAACAGGAUUAGAUACCCUGGUAGUCCACGCCGUAAACGUUGGGCACUAGGUGUGGGCGGCAUUCCACGUCGUCCGUGCCGCAGCUAACGCAUUAAGUGCCCCGCCUGGGGAGUACGGCC
rnacentral:rRNA from 1 species